UACAGAGGGUGCGAGCGUUAAUCGGAGUUACUGGGCGUAAAGGGCGCGUAGGCGGUAAGAUGGGUGUGAUGUGAAAGCCCCGGGCUUAACCUGGGAAGGGCAUAGCAAACUAUCUAACUGGAGUAGAUGAGAGGGUGGCGGAAUUUCCGGUGUAGCGGUGAAAUGCGUAGAGAUCGGAAGGAACGUCGAUGGCGAAGGCAGCCACCUGGCAUCAUACUGACGCUGAGGCGCGAAAGCGUGGGUAGCGAACAGG
rnacentral:rRNA from 1 species